rnacentral:rRNA from 1 species
CGGACGGGUGAGUAAUGUCUGGGAAACUGCCUGAUGGAGGGGGAUAACUACUGGAAACGGUAGCUAAUACCGCAUAACGUCGCAAGACCAAGAGGGGACCUUGGGCCUCUUGCCAUCGGAUGUGCCCAGAUGGGAUUAGCUAGUAGGUGGGGUAACGGCUCACCUAGGCGACGAUCCCUAGCUGGUCUGAGAGGAUGACCAGCCACACUGGAACUGAGACACGGUCCAG